rnacentral:rRNA from 1 species
UUACCAUGCAGUCGAACGGCAGCACGACCUAGCUUGCUACGAAGGUGGCGAGUGGCGAACGGGUGAGUAACGCGUAGGAAUAUACCUUAGAGAGGGGGACAACCUGGGGAAACUCAGGCUAAUACCGCGUACGUUCUUCGGAAUAAAGCUGGGGACCGCAAGGCCUGGCGCUUUAAGAAUAGCCUGCGUCCGAUUAGCUAGUUGGUGGGGUAAGGGCCUACCAAGGCGACGAUCGGUAGCUGGUCUGAGAGGAUGAUCAGCCACACUGGGACUGAGACACGGCCCAGACUCCUACGGGAGGCAGCAGUGGGGAAUAUUGGACAAUGGGGGCAACCCUGAUCCAGCAAUGCCGCGUGUGUGAAGAAGGCCUGAGGGUUGUAAAGCACUUUCAGUGGGGAGGAGGGUUGAUAGGUUAAGAGCUGAUUAACUGGACGUUACCCACAGAAGAAGCACCGGCUAACUCCGUGCCAGCAGCCGCGGUAAUACGGAGGGUGCGAGCGUUAAUCGGAAUUACUGGGCGUAAAGGGUGCGUAGGUGGUUUGAUAAGUUAACUGUGAAAGCCCUGGGCUUAACCUGGGAGGGUCAGUUAAGACUGUUGGACUAGAGUAUGGGAGAGGGUAGUGGAAUUUCCGGUGUAGCGGUGAAAUGCGUAGAGAUCGGAAGGAACACCAGUGGCGAAGGCGGCUACCUGGCCUAAUACUGACACUGA